GUCUACGGCCAUGCUAACCUGAACAAGCCUGAUUCCGUCUGAUCUUGGAAGCUAAGCAGGUUCGGGUCUCGUUAAUACUUGGAUGAGAGACCACCUAGGAAGACCAGGUGCUGCAGGCA
rnacentral:rRNA from 1 species